rnacentral:rRNA from 1 species
GACGAACGCUGGCGGCGUGCUUAACACAUGCAAGUCGAACGGAAAGGCCCUGCUAUUGUGGGGUGCUCGAGUGGCGAACGGGUGAGUAACACGUGAGUAACCUGCCCUUGACUUUGGGAUAACUUCAGGAAACUGGGGCUAAUAUCGGAUAGGAGCUCCUGUUGCAUGGUGGGGGUUGGAAAGUUUCGGCGGUUGGGGAUGGACUCGCGGCUUAUCAGCUUGUUGGUGGGGUAGUGGCUUACCAAGGCUUUGACGGGUAGCCGACCUGAGAGGGUGACCGGCCACAUUGGGACUGAGAUACGGCCCAGUCUCCUACGGGAGGCAGCAGUGGGGAAUAUUGCACAAUGGGCGGAAGCCUGAUGCGGCAGCGCCGCGUGCGGGAUGACGGCCUUCGGGUUGUAAACCGCUUUCGCCUGUGACGAAGCGUGAGUGACGGUAAUGGGUAAAGAAGCACCGGCUAACUACGUG